GGCAAGGCUAGAAAAAUGUUGCCCCCCAAAACUCUAUGCCUGUAUUGCCUUUUCUUCUUUGGUGAUCAUUCGAUGGUGUGCAGGCUUUGCUUGGACUACUAUAAUUCCAGCAUGUGACUUUAUAUUUGAGCAUAGCUCUCCUCGAAGUUGUUCUAUCUCAAUGUAUUUGUGUACUUUUUCAUAUAAUGUUGGUAAGCCUUUUGGUGAUUCAUUUAUCAGCGUGCACCUUAACUGCUCGUGACCUACCCCAAUGAUGAACACCUAAAUAGUCUAAUAGUUUGUCACACCCUUUGUCUUCAUAGUUGUGAAACCGAAUUUGCCAAUAAAUUCCCUUAAAGGUGUGUCAUCCUGUAUUAAGUCGAGAAAAUGAACAACCAGUAAAAGAAAUUAUAUGACAUGCAUCAUUGAGAUAUUAUCUCAUCUAGAUCGCUUAACAAAUUCAUGUAAACUAAAAGUUCAAAAGAUAAUUCAUUUGCAAAAUAUUUCAAGUCAACAACCAGAUACUUUUAUUAACCUUAAAAGAGUUAUUACAUCUCAUGUACCAACUAAAAAUGCUCCAAUCUAUAUCGAUGCCCCCAUAAGGCAAUCUACUAGUGUAAAUGAAAGUAAGCCUCGCUUGAAGAAUGGUAGACUAAUAAGUUCCAAAGAGAAAAAAAAACUCUUUGUAAAAGGAAAUGAGUAAAUGCUCCAGAUAGUCAUAUUGUAGAGGGAAGUGCCUAAAAAGAGACCAAAGACAUAACUAAUAAGAAAACCCCCAAAAAUGUUCAAAUACAUGAAACCAAUGAUAAUAAAGAGAUCUUAAUAAGUUAUGUUAUUACAAUAAAAAGAUAGAAUAAAAAAAUAUAGUUGUCAACAACAUUUUUACUUAUAAUAUUGCUACUGAAAUAACAAUAGAAAAUGAGGAUAUUGAACUAAUACCUAUUGAAGAAUGUAGAAAUAAAAAGGAUUGACCAAAUUGGAAAGACGUAAUUGAAGCAUAAUUGAAUUCACUUGUUAAAAGUAAACACCUAUAGGUGUCAAACCUAUAGGUUAUAAACGAGCAUGUGUGAAAACAAAACGAGAAAAAUGAAUUCGUAAGAUACAAAGCAAGACUUGUAGCACAAGUGUUUUCACAAAGACCCAAUAUUGAUUAUGAAGUCACAUACUCUAUUGUGGUUGGUACAAUCAUGUUUAAAUAUCUUAUUAGUCUAGUAGUGCAUGAAAAACUUGAUAUCUAUUUAGUUGAUGUUAUUACAACUUAUUUAUAUGACUUACUUGAUAGUGAAGUUUAUAUGAAAAUAUUUUAAGGAUUUAAGAUCCUGAAAGGAUGCAAAGUUUCCUAAGAAAAUUGUUUAAUCAAAUUAAAGAAAUCAUUAUACGAAUUAAAACAAUUUGUAAGUAUAUGAUACAAUUUUCUUAGUGAAUAUUUGUUAAAUGAAGGUUAUAAAAAUGAUCCAAAUUAUUUAUGUGUUUUUAUAAAAAGAAUUGGAUCAAAAUUCUUUAUAAUAGUUUUUUUAUGUUAACAAUUUAAAUAUUAUUGGAACUCUUGUAGAGCUUCAAAAUGUGCAUUAAAUUGUUUAAAGAAUGACUUUGAGAUGAAAGAACUUAGAAAAAUAAAGUUUUGUCUCGCCCUGAAGAUCAAACAUUUAAAAUAUGGAAUUCAUGUCAUCAGUUAUUUUAUACAGAAAAUAUUUUAAAGAAAUUUUACAUGAAUAUAACACACCCAUUAAGUGCUCAAAUGAUUGUAAGAUCAUUAGAUGUGAAUAAAAACCCCUUUCGUCAUUAUGAAAAUGAUGAAGAGCUCAUUGAUCUUGAAGUACCAUAUCUUAGUGCCAUAGGGGCAUUAAUGUAUCUUGCAACAACAUACAACAUAAUAUAACAUUUCAUGCUAGUUUGUUAGAAAGAUUUAAAUUUUCUCUAACACAUAGGCAUUAAAAUGAAAUUAAUCAUAUAUUUAGAUAUUUGAGAGAGACAAUUGAUAUUGGGUUAUUUUACUCAAAUGUAACACAAUCUCAACUAGUUGGCUAUAAUGAUGUCAAAUUUUUAUCGAAUCCACAUAAAUGAUGAUCUCGAAUGUGAUAUCUAUUUAUGUGUGGUGGUAUAAUCAUAUAAUAACAUUUGAGAAAACAAACAUUACUUACUGCCUCUUCAAAUCAUGCAGAAAUAAUACAAUGCAUGAGGCUAGCCAAAAGUUUAUUUCGCUAAAGCAAAUGAUCCAACAUAUCCAGAAUAUAUAUAAUUUACCUCUACAAGAAAAGACACCAACUAUCUUAUACGAAGAUAAUGUAGCUUGUAUAGCUUAAUUAAAAGGAGAAUAAAUUAAAGGAGAUAGAAUGAAACAUAUUAUAUCGAAAUUGUUUUUCACUUGUGCUAUUAAGAAGAAAAGUGAUAUUGAAGUUUAAUAGAUUCAUUCUAGUGAUAAUUUAGUAGAUCUAUUUACCAAAGCAUUGCCAACUGCAUCAUUUGAAAGGCUAGUAUACAAAAUUAGAAUGCAUCAUCUCAAAGAUGUUAAGUGACGUUGUCAUUAGGGGUGACCAAAUACAUGUAUUCUUUUUCUUUAAUCAAGGUUUUGUCUUAUCAAAUUUUCCUGGUAAAGGUUUUUAAUAAAGCAACUUACAAUAAGAGUUUGUAUACUUUUUUUUCCUUCAUUAGGUUUUAUCCCACAAAGGUUUUGCUAAUAAAGAUUUUAAUAAGUCACACUUUUGUUUUAAUGAGCGUCCAAGAUGAAGUGUUAUAAAUAUAUUAAAAGUGGAUGUCUAUAAUCCCUUUAAACCCUCCCAUUAAUUUAUGAGAUAAACUCGUCUCAUCCAUUUAUGAAAAUGAGAGUAAAAUGGAUAUUUCAAUGAAGCAAUCAAGAAAGAUUCAUUUAUUUUUACUUCAUCGAAUGUAAAUAGAGUCAUUGUAAGUGAAAAAUGAAAUACGAGAAAUUUUUUAAUCUCUUUCUAGUAUAAUUUUUUAUUUAUUCUAUAACAAUAUUGUGUUUUUUUAUAAAACUUUUAUCAUUUAAAAGUAUGAUACUAAAAUAUAUUGUUGGAAUGUCCGUGGUUUGGGGAGGCCACGGGUUGUAAGGAGACUUUGACAUAUGCUGAAGAUGUAUAAUCCCAAAAUUGUAUUCUUUAUGGAGACUAAAUUAAGUUCAAGAAGAAUGGAGAAUGUUUGCAGAAGAUGUGGUUUUUUGAAUGGGUUUGAUAUUGCAGCUGAAGAAUCUAGAGGGGGUUUGAUGGUUAGGGCCCCAUAAUGCUCUAAUUUAGAAGAGGUGAUUCCACGAUUACUUUGAGGAGUUUUUUAGAACACCAUAUUGAUGCCGAAGUUAGAGAGGGUGUGAAGGGUAAUAUUUGGAGAUUUACGAGAUUUUAUGGGGCCCUAGAUUCGUGGAAUAGAGAGGAUACAUGAAAAUUGCUAAGGAUUUUAGGACAACCACAGAAUAUUCCUUGGAUUAUGGGGCAAGAUUUUAAUGAAAGGGAGGAGAUGAGAAUGGAGGCUUUUAGAAAGUUUCUUUGUGAUUGUCAACUAGUGGAUGUGGGUUACUCAUGGCCGUGGUUUACUUGGGAGAUAGGUAAUCUUUCAAAAAUAAAUAUCAGAUAGAGGUUAGAUAGGGGGUAGCGAAUGAAAGAUGGAUGACUGUGUUUCCUAACAUGCACUCUUUUUCUAAUUAUUGACCUCUUCUUAUACAGUCAGAGCUUAAUGACUAUGACUUUUGAUCUAAACGCUUUUGGUUCAAGGCAUGGUGGGUGUUGGAGGAGUCUUUUGAGGAAGAGGUGAAAUGUCUUUGAGAGGGGGACGAUGAUGAUAUUCUCUCUAAGUUAGAGCGCGUUUGGGUUGGCUUAGGGAAAUGGGCAGCGGAUGUAAGAAGAAAAAAAGUAGGGAUCAAGAAAGAGUUAACAAAAAAACUUGGGGAUUUUCUGGUCAGGGAAAAAGAUGACAACAAUCUUUUGGAGUUGAUUACACCAAAAUUCAGUUAAAUUUCGAGAUUGAUAAGGAUGAACAGUUUUGAGAGCAGAUAGCAAGGGCGAAUUGGUUGAGGUUGAGGAAUAAAAACACGACUUUUUUCAUAACUUUGCUAAAAUGGAUAGUAUUGUUCGAAAUUAUUUCUAAUCCUUUUUUGAGUCAAUGAAGAUCAAAGAUACAUAACAUAUUCUGUCUGGGGUAGGAAGAUGUAUCUCCAAUGAGGCAAAUGCUUUGUUGACAGAACAGCACACGAUGAAAGAAUAUGGGACCAACAAAGGCAUCAGGGGAUGAUGACUUUCCGGCUCUUUUCUACUAAAGGUAUUGGCACAUUGUUGGGAAGGACAUUACUUCUUCUUGCUUAAAGGUCCUGAAUAAAGGUAAACCUCUAGUUCCAUUAAAUGUUACAAAUAUUGUGCUCAUUCCUAAAAUCCCAUGCCCGAUGAAUUUAAUGAAUUUUAGGCCAAUUAGUUUAUGCACGGUUCAUGCUUUUUGUUGCCUAAGUCAUUGUGUCAAAAACCGGAAAGCAUAAUAACAAGGUUUUGGUAGCAGAGAAGUCAUGGCAGAAAGGGCAUUCAUUGGUGUCAAUGGUCUAGAUUGUCUGAGCUUAAAGAGAAUGGUGGCUUGAGAUUUCAAUGUUUGACUUUGUUUAAUGUUCCUUUGUUAGCCAAAUAGGUUUAGCGUCUUAUUAAUAGUUUGAAUUCAUUAUUAAGUCGAGUGCUAAAAGUUAAGUAUUAUCCGCAAUGUGAACUUUUCCAAGCAAGGUUAGGGAAUCUACUUUCUUUCACCCGGCUAAGCAUUUGGUCAACAAAGGUUUGCUGCAAGAUGGUCUUGGUUGGAGGUGUAAUAGCCCAUUGUUAAUGGUGUCAAAAAUAGUGGUUUCGGGACCAUGAUUUUGAUAAAUGUGUCAAUAAAUAUUAAUUAUUUAACAUUUACGAGUAUUUAUUAAGGUCAUAUUAAAAUUUGGUUAAGAAAUUUUAAGGUUUAAAUAGUUAAUUAAGGAAAAAGGACUAAACUAUAAAUGAUGCAAAAGUUAAAUUCUAUUAGUGAAAGGUAUAAAAUUGUUAUGAGAAAGUGAAUUAAGGGAUUUAUUUAGUAAAUCUACCAUAGGAUAUGAGAAUGGACGGUUAUGGACUUUGUAUAGAUAAAAUUAAGUUGAAUGUUUAAAGGGUAAAUUAGUAAUUAAUCUAAUAAAUACAUAAACAAAUAAGUAAAAAUUAGUGCCAUCUUCUUCCUUACCUAUUUUUUUUACCGAAAUUACCAUGGGAGAGUAGAGAACAAUCGGCCAACCUUUGUUUCAUAUGCAUGGUAUGUAAAAAUUGUUCGUUUUUAAUUAAUUUUAUCUUUAACUUCGUAUUAGCUUAAUCUAACUAACCCAGGGGUCAAUUCAUAAAAUUUUUAAAAUUUUAGGGACUUGUCAUGAAUGAAUUUAGUUGAUAAAUUAUUAAGGUUGGUAGUUAAAUAUAACUAUUUUAUUAAGUGAUUUUUGAUGAUUUUAAUGUUUAGGGACCUAUUUGAGAAAAUAGUAAAAUUUAAUGGAAUUAGGAUGAAAUGAUGAAUGAUAUGGGCUAUAAUGAAACCCUAUGAAAUUUGGUUAAUAAGGUUUUUCUUUAAAAAUGGUAAAUUUGCAAGUUUUGGGUUUAGGGACUAAAUUGUGCUAAGGUUAAAAUGCCAGGGGUAAUUUUAUAAAUUCACAUUAAAAGGGCUAAAAGCUUGAAUUAAUUAUUUUAAGUUAUUUGAAUUAUUCAAUUGAAUGAAAUUAUUAUUUAGAUCAAGAAACGAACAAACCAACGAACAAACCAAACUUGAAUCGUGGUAAAGCUAAGGUUUCGAAUUAGUCAUCGACUCUACUUUUGUAACCGUGUUAGUCGAGGUAAGUUUGUAUAAGUAUUAAACUUAUUAAUUAAUGUUUUGAUUGUAUGUUAAUAAAUAUUGUGCUAUGUAUAAUUUAACUUGAUAAUUGUACGAUGUUUUGGAUAUUGGAUCAAAUUGCGAUGUUAAUUAAAUUGGAUUGUUUAAUGGUCCUGUUUGAACCUUAUGAAUACUUGGGAUACAAAUGACAUGUUAUUAGGGUUAUACGAUUUCAGGUGCUAGUCUUGGAUGUCCUACCGAUGGUUGAGGUCAUGCAUUUGUUGUGGAUUCUUCACAGCUCGUGUAAGUAGCAUCAUGUAGCUUAACAUCUCGACCCACAGCUCGUGUGAGCAGACCCAUUUCACAGCUUGUGUGAGCAUUACAAAUACAGUUAAAAUUAUAUGUACAGGCACACUUUGUGUGAGCAUGUUUCUUGAGUAACUGACGUCAUUUCAUUUGGUUCAAUUGGUAAUUAAAGCUUUUAAAGAGUAUAUGAAUAUAUAAAAUGAUUAUUGAUAUUGAAUGAUGAUAUAAACUAUAUUGAUAUGAGUAUUUGAUAUUUUUGUUAUAAUAUAUGACAUGGUUUGGUUGGAUUUACAAGUGCAUUAUUACACCUACUAACUUUGUGAAAUGGUGUGUAUAGGAAAGGAAACUAUGCACGUGACAUAAUGAAUUUAUGCUUGGUUGUUAGAUAUAAUGUGUGCGGUAAGUUUAAGUUUUCUUUAUACGAGUUUACUAAGUAUUAAUUGCUUAUAUAGUUAUUUUCUCUAUUUUAUAGAUCCUCGAAAAGCUCAAUUGGUUGGAAUCGCGUCAUAGCACGAUCACACUAUCCAAUCAUCAUUUUGGUAGUUUUUGGUUAUUCUAGUAUAAGGUUAUAAAUGACAUGUAUUAGGGUUGAUUGUUAACUUGAUAAUUUGGUAUGUUUUGAAUUGUGUCAAACUUAUGUGUGCCUUAAUGUUUAAUUACUGGUUUGCAAAAAUAAGGUAAAUAGGUGUGUUAUUGAACCCUUAUGCAUGCCCAUGAGACUAUAGGUAAAUCAUUAUUGGAUGAUAUGCUUAUGAAAUGGUUUUGGCAUGUCUGAUGUGUAAUGAAUGAACUUAUAAUGUUGAAUGGAAUUAAGUCUGAUUUGUGAUUGUGGUGCCUUUUGUUGGCAUAUUGGUUAGGUCUUAUAAGAUGGUUGGUUUGGUAUGAUUUGGAGUAUGUUUGAAUGUGUUUUGGUCAUAUACAUGCAUGUAGAAAUGAGAUGACUUUUUGUUUAAGCAAUUGGGCAUGACAUGGCUUUUUUUAGAGGCAAUUAUAAAGCACAUAGCAUGGGAUAUGGGCUAUCACAUGGCUGUGUGUCAUUUAAAUUUUAGGUGCAAGAUAAACCACACGGGCACAAUGAGUUACACGACCGUGUGACCAAACUUCGAAUGCACACAUGGUCUGGCACAUGGCCUGCAACAUAGUCAUAUGAACCUAUUUUGAAUUUCCACACAGGCAGAUACACGGGUUAGAACAUGCCCGUGUGUCUCAUACAUCAAAUACUCACAUGACUUGGGCUAUGCCACACGGCCGUAUGACCCUUGUUUUCAAGAUUUUUCAAUUAUUCUAAAAUUUUCUAUUUUGUUUCAAAUUGAUUCCCAAACAUUUCCAAACAAUUUUUUGGGCAUCGUAGGCUCAAUUUAAUGCCCGUAAGUGUAUUUUUACAUAAAUUAAAAUGAAUUAUUGAAUUUUUUAAUUUAAUUUGCUUAUUUGUUUUUAUUAAAGUUAAAUGUUCCAAUUUGCAUAAUAAUGCUUCAUAGCCCUACUCUAACAAUGGAGACGAGUUAAGGGUGUUAUAGAAUGGUUGGUAAAGUAAAUCGAAUCUCUAUUCAAGAGGAUGCUUGGUUGGCAAGGGCUAAAAAUUACAGAGUAUAUGGGAAUAUCAACAACAGUAACAUCGAAAAGGUAUAUGAUUUAAUUGACCAUUCUCAUAGCAAAUGGAAUGUGGGGUUGAUAAAGGAUACCUUUGAGGAAAGUGUUGCAGAAAAAAUUCUAAGACUCCCUUUAGCUAGGUUGGAGCAUGAGGAUAUGUUAGUGUGGAGAGGCGAACCUUCAGGUGUUUUCUCGGUGAGAAGUGCUUAUAAGCUACUCCUUAAGGGUGGUCGAGACAAUCAACAUACAGAUUUUCAUAAUACCAUGAAAGGCCUUUACAAAAAUUUGUGGAAACUAAAAUUAACUACAAAACAGAAAAUUACAGCUUGGAAAACUUUCUGGAACUUUCUGCCUACACUAGUUAAUCUCUAUAAUAGAAGAAUUGAGGUUAACACAAUAUGUCAUAGAUGUGGAGGGGGUCCAGAAACUGUAGGCCAUGUGGGAUUGUCCUGUCAUAGUGGAAAUAUGGAAUAUGCUUAACCUCGUUUGGAUACUAUCUCAACCUCUGCUAAAUACAAGGGAAUGGCUAACCUGGGUUUUUCAUAAUGGCUCAGUUGAUAGCUGCAGGAAGAUCUGUUGUGCGACGUGGGUAACCUUGUAUGAGAGAGACAAGGAGUAGAAAUGUACUUGGAUAGAGCCGUACCGGAUUUCGUAGUGUGGUCGCUGGGCUCGGGGACUCCAACGGGAACGAGAACUGAACUGAGCUGUAACACUUUUGUUCUUGAAUUGGUGAGGAGUGCAAAAAUGAAGAUUGAAUGGUUAGGGUAACUGUGCUCUGUGGAACUGGAAUCAUCAAGCAGAAAAUGAGCAUUCUAGAAGGAGACGAUUUGCCAGUUUUCAAAUCAGGCUGGCUGUAUCUUUAAUGCUUUUGUCCUUUUAAGGUUCUUUUUUGUUCUGAGCCAACUCCGAGGUUUUUUACUAAAUUAUUAUAAAAAAUAAAAAAUAUCUAAAAUAUUAUAUAUUUUUUAUUUACCAAAAUAUACAAAAAAACAGAAAAAAGCUGCGCCGAUGUGACAGGACCCUGGUGGAGGGUUUGUGAUUGGCGGCACCAAAGGUGCCUAACUGAUUGGCGGCACCGAUGGUGCCAUACUGGUUGGCGG
rnacentral:lncRNA from 1 species